GACGAACGCUGGCGGCGUGCUUAACACAUGCAAGUCGAACGGAAAGGCCCUGCUUUUGUGGGGUGCUCGAGUGGCGAACGGGUGAGUAACACGUGAGUAACCUGCCCUUGACUGUGGGAUAACUUCAGGAAACUGGGGCUAAUACCGGAGAGGAGCGCCUGCUGCAUGGUGGGGGUUGGAAAGUUUCGGCGGUUGGGGAUGGACUCGCGGCUUAUCAGCUUGUUGGUGGGGUAGUGUCUUACCAAGGCAUUGACGAGUAGCCGGCCUGAGAGGGUGACCGGCACCAUUGGGACUGAGAUACGGCCCAGACUGCUACGGGAGGCAGCGGCGGGGAAUAUUGCACAAUGGGCGGAAGCCUGAUGGAGCAACGCCGCGUGCGGGAUGACGGCCUUCGGGUUGUAAACCGCUUUCGCCUGUGACGAAGCGUGAGUGACGGUAAUGGGUAAAGAAGCACCGGCUAACUACGU
rnacentral:rRNA from 1 species